rnacentral:tRNA from 1 species
GUUCUGGUAGCUUAAUAUUAACUAAAGCCCUGGUUUUGUAAACCAAAGACGAGUCUAACUCUCAGAACA